AUGGGAAAGGAGAAGAGGCACCUCAACAUCGUCGUCAUUGGACAUGUCAGUUCGGGCAAGUCCACCACUACUGGCCACGGGACCUACCAAUGUGAUGGUAUAGACAAAAGAGCCAUUGAGAAAUUCAAGGAGGAGGCUGCUGAGAUGGAAAGGGCUCUUUAAAAUAUGCCUGGGUCUUGGAUAAACUGAAAGCUGAGCAUGAGUGUGGUAUCGCCACUGAUAACUCCCUGUGGAAAUUUGAGACCAGCAAGUACUACGCCACUAUCACUGAUGCCCCAGGACACAGAGACUUCAUCAAAAACAUGAUUACAGGCACAUCGCAGGCUGACUGUGCUGUCCUAAUUGCUGCUGCUGGUGUUGGGGAAUUUGAAGUCGGUAUCUCCAAGAAUGGGCAGACCCGUGAGCAUGCCCUCCUGUCUUACACACUGAGUGUGAAACAACUAAUUGCUGGUGUUAACAAAAUGGAUUCCACUGAGCCACCCUACAGCCAGAAGAGAUAUGAAGAAAUUGUUAAGGAAGUCAGCACUUACAUUAAGAAAAUUGGCUACAACCCUGACACAGUAGCAUUUGUGCCAAUUUCUGGUUGGAAUGGUGACAACAAGCUGGAGCCAAGUGCUAACAAGCCUUGGUUCAAGGGAUGAAAAGUCACUCGCAAAGAUGGUGAUGCCAGUGGAACCCCACUGCUUGAAGCACUGGACUGCAUCCUGCUACCAGCUCAUCCAACUGACAAGCCCUGUGUCUGCCGUUCCAGGAUGUCUACAAGAUUGGUAGUAUUGGUACUGUCCCUGUGGGCCAGUGGAGACUGGUGCUCUCAAACCUGGCAUGAUGGUUACCCUUGCUCCAGUCAAUGUUACAACUGAAGUAAAGUCUGUUGAAAUGCACCAUGAAGCUUUGAGCAAAGCUCAUCUGGGGGACAACGUGAGCUUCAAUAUCAAGAAUGUGUCUGUCAAAGACGUUUACUGUGGCAACGUUGCCAGUGACAGUAGAAAUGAUCCGCCAAAGGAAGCAGCUGGCUUCACAGCUCAGGUGAUUAUCCUGACCCAUCCAGGCCAACCAGCGCUGGCUGUGCCCCUGUACUGGAUUGUCACACAGUGCACAUUGCAUGCAAGUUUGCUGAGCUGAAGGAAAAGAUUAAUUGCCAUUCUGGUGAGAGCUAGAAGAUGGCCCUAAAUUCUUGAAGUCUGUUGAGGCUGCCAUCAUUGAUAUGGUUCCUGGCAAGCCCAUGUGUGUGGAGAGCUUCUCUGACUAUCCUUCUCUGGGUCAUUUUGCCAUCCGUGACAUGAGGCAGACAGUUGCUGUGGGUGUCAUCAAAGCAGUGGACAAGAAGGCUGCUGGAGCUGGCAAGGUCACCAAGUCUGCCCAGAAAGUUCAGAAGGCUAACCAAAUAUCCCUAAUACCUGCCACCUCAUUGAAUCUUCCAGUAGACGUCUACAGUUUAGCUAGAAGUCUUGGCUACGAUACAAACAGUGAUGGAAAACACAUGAGCAGUAACAAGUUUUAA